UACGAAGGGGGGCUAGCGUUGCUCGGAAUCACUGGGCGUAAAGGGCGCGUAGGCGGCGUUUUAAGUCGGGGGUGAAAUCCUGGAGCUCAACUCCAGAACUGCCUUUGAUACUGAAAGUCUUGAGUAUGGGAGAGGUGAGUGGAACUGCGAGUGUAGAGGUGAAAUUCGUAGAUAUUCGCAAGAACACCAGUGGCGAAGGCGGCUCACUGGCCCAUAACUGACGCUGAGGCACGAAAGCGUGGGGAGCAAACAGG
rnacentral:rRNA from 1 species